UACGGAGGGUGCGAGCGUUGUCCGGAAUCACUGGGCGUAAAGGGCGCGUAGGCGGCGCGGCAAGUCUGUGGUGAAAGCCCGAGGCUCAACUUCGGGUCGGCCAUGGAUACUGCUGCGCUCGAGCACUGUAGAGGCAGGUGGAAUUCCGGGUGUAGCGGUGGAAUGCGUAGAGAUCCGGAAGAGCACCGGUGGCGAAGGCGGCCUGCUGGGCAGUAGCUGACGCUGAGGCGCGACAGCGUGGGGAGCAAACAGG
rnacentral:rRNA from 1 species